UACGUAGGGUGCGAGCGUUAAUCGGAAUUACUGGGCGUAAAGCGUGCGCAGGCGGUUUUGUAAGUCCGAUGUGAAAUCCCCGGGCUUAACCUGGGAAUGGCAUUUGGGACUGCAAGGCUGGAGUUUGGCAGAGGAGACUGGAAUUCCUGGUGUAGCAGUGAAAUGCGUAGAUAUCAGGAGGAAUACCGAUGGCGAAGGCAGGUCUCUGGGCCAUAACUGACGCUGAGAAGCGAAAGCAUGGGGAGCGAACAGG
rnacentral:rRNA from 1 species